GAUGAACGCUAGCUACAGGCUUAACACAUGCAAGUCGAGGGGCAGCAUGUCGGUUGCUUGCAACCGACGAUGGCGACCGGCGCACGGGUGAGUAACGCGUAUCCAACCUACCCUUGUCCAUCGGAUAACCCGUCGAAAGGCGGCCUAACACGAUAUGCGGUUCUCAGCAGGCAUCUAACGAGAACGAAAUGUGAAGGAGAAGGAUGGGGAUGCGUCUGAUUAGCUUGUUGGCGGGGUAACGGCCCACCAAGGCGACGAUCAGUAGGGGUUCUGAGAGGAAGGUCCCCCACAUUGGAACUGAGACACGGUCCAAACUCCUACGGGAGGCAGCAGUGAGGAAUAUUGGUCAAUGGACGGGAGUCUGAACCAGCCAAGUAGCGUGCAGGAUGACGGCCCUAUGGGUUGUAAACUGCUUUUAUAGGGGGAUAAAGUGUGCCACGUGUGGCAUAUUGCAGGUACCCUAUGAGUAAGGACCGGCUAAUUCCGUGCCAGCAGCCGCGGUAAUACGGAAGGUCCGGGCGUUAUCCGGAUUUAUUGGGUUUAAAGGGAGCGUAGGCCGUCUUAUAAGCGUGUUGUGAAAUGUCGGGGCUCAACCUGGGCAUUGCAGCGCGAACUGUGAGAC
rnacentral:rRNA from 1 species